CCAUCGGAGGCACUCAAAAAAUAUGUAUGGCUUAAAGGAGCAGGUGCAGAGAUACUUCAACUGGAAUUGUCCAUUUCUCUCUAAUUAUCAAGGAUUUGGUAAAACAUAAUAUUAAAGCCAGAGACAUGGAAGAGUUAAUGACCUUGUGGAGGUACACUGUCUUGCUACUGUAGUCCCAUCACAGCACAACAAAUGUUACAAUGAGACAAGCCGGCUGGAUGUACUAUCAUUCAAAUGUUGGAAGCUAUGACUAGGAGCAACAACAACAAAAGGAAGCUAAGAACGGGAUGGCCUCACCUCACGAUGAAUAACACUACAGUUUGUUUCCUCUUUGUGUUUGGGUUUAAAUUACUAUAUUAUGUUUCAGGUAAUGUAAGCCAGAAGGACAAGUUGGGGGAUGGAUGGUUGUAUUUAAAUUUCAGUUUACAGACGUAGCCUCGAGAAAGUUACGGAAGUGUAUCAGCAUGAAAAACGUGAGGGGAGGUAUUCAUUGUCUUUUUCAAAAGAGGUAAGCUAGCAAGGAAGAUAGAUUUGGGAAAAUUAGUCAUGAGAAUUCACCUUUCAGUGAAUCCUUCUUGGCUGGGAAGGAAAGCUUUUCUUCUAGUUAGCUGGGAACGGUGAUGGGGUUAUUUUACCAGAAGAUGGAAGAAGCUGGCAGAUGAAGAGAACUCCCUGGACAAAUAAGGGGCAAUAUAAUACGGAAGAGAUGGGGUUCAGUGAGUCUGGAGUUCCUCGGCGACACCGCUUACCAGGUGUUAGCUUCGGUCAAGUUUCUUAUCUUCCUGAAAGGCUCAGUUUUCUUAUCCAUAAAAAUAGGGUCGGGUUGCCAAUUUUACCAAAUAAAAAUACAGGAUGCCUAGUUAAAUUUGAAUUUCAGAUAUACAACAUUUUUUUUUUUUAAUCCCAUGAAAUAUUUGUGUCCCAUGCAGUAAGUAUGUCUUUAGUAUUACAUGGGGCAUAGUUAUACUAAAACAUUAUUCAUUGUUUAUUGGAUUCAAGUUUAACUGGUCUUUGGGUUCCUGGACUCAGUUCCAACAUGUAUAUGGGGGCCUGGGUGUACUCUCCUCACCUUCAAGCAAUUCUUUGGACACCAGUUGGGUAUCCUACAAUUUGACUCAAUUCUGAUACUAUCAACCCAGAGAUAGCACCAGAUUCCACAGGUUGGGGGCUCAGUCCCACAAGACUGUCUCAAGCACCCUCCACUUCAGACACCAGUUGGAAGUGCUUCUGAUGGCUAUAAAUCAGAGGUUCCCAUCAUCCCCUCCUUGGGUUUGACUAAUUUGCUAGAGCAGCUCACAGAACUCAGAGAAACAUUUUACUUUCUGGAUUACCAUCCAGUUGAUCAUAAAAGGAAAUGAAAUAGGACACAGAUGAACAUCCAGCUGAAAGAGAUACAUAGGGCAAGGCAUGGGGAAAAGGCACUGAGCUUCCAGUGCCCUCUCCAGGCAUGCUAUCUCCCAGGAUCUCCAUGUGUUCACGGACCUGGAGGUUCUCCAAACCCAGUCCUUUGGGGUUUUAUGGGGGUUUUAUGACAUAGACAAAAUUGAUUAAAUCACUGGCCAUUGGCCAUGAAUUCAACCUUCAGCCCCUCUUCCCUUGCCAGACGUCAGGGGGGUGGGACUGAGAGUUCUCACCCUCCAAUCACAUGGUUGGCUCCACUGCAACCAGCCCCCCAUCCUGAGGAGCAGUACAAAAGUCACCUCAUUCACACAACUAAAGACACCUUUCUCGCUCUCCACACUUAGGAAAUUGCAAGGGUUUUGAGAACUGUGAUAUAAAUCACAGUAUCACAACUGGGCAUCCUCUAUUUGCCAGUCCUAAAUGGGGUGUGAUGCAAAUGAUUUUCUUGUAAGGGUGUUGUAAGGAUAAAAUAAUACCACACUGAAGUCUUACAACAGUAAUUGGUAUAUAGUCAAAAUCUGAACAAAUGGAUGGUCUUUAAUAAAGGUCUUUAUUUUUAAA